AUUGAACGCUGGCGGCAGGCUUAACACAUGCAAGUCGAGCGGAGAGAGGUAGCUUGCUACUGAUCUUAGCGGCGGACGGGUGAGUAAUGCUUAGGAAUCUGCCUAUUAGUGGGGGACAACAUUUCGAAAGGAAUGCUAAUACCGCAUACGUCUUACGGGAGAAAGCAGGGGAUCUUCGGACCUUGCGCUAAUAGAUGAGCCUAAGUCGGAUUAGCUAGUUGGUGGGGUAAAGGCCUACCAAGGCGACGAUCUGUAGCGGGUCUGAGAGGAUGAUCCGCCACACUGGGACUGAGACACGGCCCAGACUCCUACGGGAAGCAGCAGUGGGGAAUAUUGGACAAUGGGCGGAAGCCUGAUCCAGCCAUGCCGCGUGUGUGAAGAAGGCCUUAUGGUUGUAAAGCACUUUAAGCGAGGAGGAGGCUACUUUAGUUAAUACCUAGAGAUAGUGGACGUUACUCGCAGAAUAAGCACCGGCUAACUCUGUGCCAGCCGCCGCCGUAAAAC
rnacentral:rRNA from 1 species